GUUGAAGGUCGGGCCAGAGGAGGCGGUAAUACAGAGAGGUCAAUGGGUAAUCGGAAGGUGUGGGCGUAAAGGGCGCGUAGGUGGUGUGUUAAGUUGGAUGUGAAAUCCCCGGGCGCAACCUGGGAACUGCAUCCAAAACUGGCUAGCUAGAGUAGGGCAGAGGGUGGUGGAAUUUCCUGUGGAGCGGUGAAAUGCGUAGAUAUAGGAAGGAACACCAGUGGCGAAGGCGACCACCUGGACUGAUACUGACACUGAGGUGCGAAAGCGUGGGGAGCAAACAGGAUUAGAUACCCCGUAGUC
rnacentral:rRNA from 1 species